UUCAUCAAACGGGUGACCUUGCUCACCACCAAUCUCAACCAACAACAGCAAUCCAACAUCAUCUUCCACCACCUCCGCUCCAACAACUACCCGUCGUCGUUGAUCAACCGCUUGCUAUGCCGAGCAAAACCGAGGGCCUCGAUAACAGAAGUCCCGCAUGAUACACCAACAACAUCCAACGUAGGCCACCUCCAAGAGUUAAACGAAGAAAACCAUCCUCACGCCGGCAGCAUCACCUCCAGAGGCUUGCAAACUCCAUUGGACCAAAACACUCCAGCCAUCCAACCCCAGCAGCGACCACCACACCACCUUCCACAACCAACGGACAGCAGCUCACCGAAUACAGAAGCAUCCCCUUCAUUGAAAAUCUCAGUCCUACAAUCGCCAACAUCCUAAAAACCGAUUUUCCACAGGUACGAAUUGCCUACAAAACAUUAAAAAACACAAAUAACAUCCUACGAUCAGUUAAAGACCCCCUCCCUAUACUCGACCAAUGCAACGUUAUUUACAGUCUAGAAUGCACAGACUGUAAACAAACAUACAUUGGAAUGACCACAAACCAGUUAAAAACUAGAAUGUCUGGACACAAGAGCAAUGUUAACCAAUACACCAAAUUAAUCCAAAGCAAUGACACACACACAAAUGAAGAAAUCCUAAGACUAGGCGAAAAAACGGCAUUAAUGAAACAUGUCAUUGAAAACAACCAUAUGUUCAAUGUUGCAAACCCAAAAAUUCUCGAUAGGGCCAAUAGAAAAUCAACACUACCAACACUAGAGAUGUGUCACAUCAUCCAUACACCUAACACAGUCAACCACCGUACAGACAUACAAGGUCUAAGUACAACGUACGCAGGACUAUUCCACACAAUUAAACAGUCCACCACACGUAGACAAACCCCAGCCAUAUCAACAAUGGAACCAAUUCCACACCUCCUAAAUGAAACCGAUGAACGUGAUCCAUAAUCACCACAAAAUUCACCAACCAUUUUGAAACGAUCGUUACCAGUGCUGUGAAGUCCAAUCAAAACUAAAUAUAUUAAAAAAAACCCUUAAAAAACAGUAAGUUAGGUAAAAUUGUGCAUCAAAUCGAAAAUAAUAACCAUAUUAUAACAGACAGGUAAUGAAAAGGCAGGCCAAACACAAAUGGUUAGGCAACUAUAUACACGGGAGACGAUAGACACUACGACCCUUGAGAAAGGCCAAAACCCUUCGGCCGAAACGU